rnacentral:rRNA from 1 species
GCCCAAGGUAUUAACCAGGACCGUCUCCUUCCGCCGGAGCACUUUACAACCCCAAGGGCUUCUUCCUUCACGCGGCAUGGCUGGAUCAGGGUUGCGCCCAUUGUCCAAAAUUCCCCACUGCUGCCUCCCGUAGGA